UAAAUAUGAGGGCAGGAUAAAAUGAAUAAGGUCUUUUAUAUCACUGAAACGUAUUAUAAAUUAACAGUACACCAAAGACAUAAAAACUAUUUUUAAAUUGCAAAAUGUGUUAAAUGCACAGCAUCUGAGACAAAGCGUUUCCUGAUGCACUCUCAAAGGCACAGGUCACGAUGGCCGCUUAAGUGACACGAUGGGCCUGAUGUCUGCGUGAGUGCGAUGAACGCUUGAGCUGCGUUUCUUCCGCUUCUACGGCUCACAAAGCCGAGCAAAUUGAGCGGAGCGGAAAAGACGGCUUCGUUUAAACAGUCAUCGUGUUGCCGUGGCUUUCCCGGCGACUGAUGAGGGGGGGUUGUGGUCGGAGAUCAAAACGCGUCUCCGUCCCGCUUUUCGUUCUCCAGCAAAGCGCAGUUUGAAGGAGCGUGUCCGCAGACGCGCAUUCUCUGCGCUCCGUCUUCCAGGAUAAUACGAUAAUAACAGUGGAGGCGGAUCAAGUGCCGCACAAUUACCUUGCAGUUCUGCAACUAAUCUUUUCCCUUUUCUCGAAACACAGCAACGUGAUUGAUUAAUAGUAAAAGUUAACAAUAUGAUCGCGAAACGAGUUGUGAGAGAGAGGACGGACCGGGGAGGUUUUAUACCACCUGCCAGCGGGUCCAAAGUUUGGAGGUCCCACAGUAAUUAACCUGAUUCGUGCAGAAAAGGCUAAUUAUUAGCAGAAGCUGAGACGCCAAAAAUGUUUUUGAUCUCAUGGAAGGUCUCUGUAAAAGGAACUUCUUAAGCAAGUGAAGAUUUCCAAAAAUCACUCACUCCAUUCUUUGUUGUUUUUGAGAGGACUCAAUCGUCAGAUCCCCUGUGACCCUGAGCAGCAUAAACGGCUGAAGAUGGAUGGACACAAGCUCUCAGAUGUAAAAGAAAAAUACUGGGAUCUAUACCGCAGAAACGGAAAGCUGUCG